UAUUGGGAUCCGACUAAGCCAUGCGAGUCGAGAGGGUUCGGCCCUCGGCAGACUGCUCAGUAACACGUGGAUAAUCUACCCUUAGGUGGAGGAUAAUCUCGGGAAACUGAGAAUAAUACUCCAUAGGUCUAAGAGGCUGGAAUGCACUUAGGCUGAAAACUCUGGUGCCUAAGGAUGAGUCUGCGGACUAUCAGGUAGUAGUCAGGGUAAAGACCUGACUAGCCUACGACGGAUACGGGUUGUGAGAGCAAUAACCCGGAGAUGAUAUCUGAGACACGAUAUCAGGCCCUACGGGGCGCAGCAGGCGCGAAAACUUCACAAUGCGCGAAAGCGCGAUGAGGGAAUCCCAAGUGCUUGCACGUUAGUGUAAGCUGUUUCUAUGUCUAAAAAGCAUAGAGAGUAAGAGCUGGGUAAGACGGGUGCCAGCCGCCGCGGUAAUACCUGCAGCUCGAGUGGUGGCCGCUAUUAUUGGGCCUAAAACGUUCGUAGCCGGUUUAAUAAAUGCCUGGGUAAAUCGUGUAGCUUAACUAUACGAAUUCCGGGUAGACUGUUAAACUUGAGACCGGGAGAAGCUAGAGGUACUCCUGGGGUAGAGGUGAAAUUCUGUAAUCCUAGGGGGACCACCAGUGGCGAAGGCGUCUAGCUAGAACGGGUCUGACGGUGAGGAACGAAGC
rnacentral:rRNA from 1 species